rnacentral:lncRNA from 1 species
GUGGGAGAGCGAGCUCGGAAUCCCGGAAUCUCGGAAUCUCGGGGACCCCCAGGAACCUUCGGGGAAGCGCCAGGGAGCGGCCAGGAGAACUACGUUCGGCCGGGGCGACAUGGAAGCCGUUAUCAAGGUAAUUCUUCACGCUUGCAAACUUCACUGUGGGAAACAGGCUCCUUCCAAAAAGGAGGUAACAGCAGUUCUUUCGCUGCUGGAAAAGGAAGGGCUUUUAACAAACCCGUCUGAUUUAUACAAUCCUGGCAGAUGGGAUGGAAUUACGGCCGCACUAUCUCAAAGGUCGCUGGCCACUCGAAAAGUAUCAGAAUUCAAAGUAUGGGGACUUAUCUUGGAGGCGCUGAAAGCAGCACGGGAGGAGAAGCUAGCAAACCAACGUGCUAGAGACAUUCUGGGUUUGGAGACGGGGGGAGGCCGGGGGGGGAGUCUUGACUCUCUUACAGAUUCAGUGCAAGGCAAGAUGGCGCCGGCUCCCCCGAACACACCUGUUCCUUCGCCUAAGACGGACAUUCCAGAAGGCAGCCCUGAACAGGAGGACACCCCGCCUCCGCCCCCCUAUCCUAACUCCUCGUAUCCUUCAUUGGACGCCUACAGGGAUGAAGGGGGAGGGAAGCCCCUCGAGGAAUGCGAUGUUGCUACUGUACCUGAUAAGAACAAGGACAAGGGAGAGAGAAAGGGGGGAGGCAUGGUGGUGCCACCAGAGCUGAAAGGAGGAGGUGUGGUCCCACCAGAGCUGAAAGGGGGAGGUGUGGUGUCACCAAGGAAAAGUGUAAGGAGGGGUGGUACUUCUUCGUUGUCGGGUCCCGCCUGUUGCUGUGCGUAUGCCCAGAAAGGGGGGGAUCGUGCCAACCCAUGUGAUAGUGAAGGUGAAUGUGGGUGUGAUGAUUUCAUGUGGCCCGCCCAAGGGGCUGGCCAAGCCGCCCAAGGUGCCGCCCAAGGGGGAUGUGGCCCCACGGCACCCGUACCGUGGAGCCCACCCACUUUCACUGAUUGGGCCCAGACAAGGGAGGACCUCCAGACAGCCGACCCGGAAACAACAGCUUUUGCCCUCCCGAUAAUAGUGAAACAGGAUGGUCCGGCUUGGACCCCUCUGGAUUCCAAGGCGAUUACUCGCCUUGCAGAGUUAGUUAAGAACAAGGGCUUGCGUUCUCCGGUAACUAUGUCAGCAAUUGAGGCUCUCAUGGCCUCGAGUCUCCUGCCGUACGAUGUGGUCAGUCUCAUGAGGGUGAUUCUUGAGCCCGUGCAGUACACGCUGUGGUAUGAUGAAUGGAAUAGAUUGCUUCAGGCUGUUGUCGCUGAGGCAGCUCGUAAUAACAAUCAUCCGGCUAAUGCGCAUACAGGUCAGGGCCGUGGAGCUAGGGUUGAAAGAACUACUCUCUUGCGCCUUCAGGGACUAGCAGAUGGUAUUGGUGGGAUCCCCGAGGGUCAAGCAAAGAGGGGACUGAGAGCGGCGGGAGUUGCU